rnacentral:rRNA from 1 species
AAGGAUCAUUAUCGAAUUCUGAGGGGGGAAGACGGGGUGAGUGAGGACUGUCGCUGGCCCGAGCUAACUCUUGGGCAUGUGCACGUCUUUGCUUUUUCGUCGACCUUUCUCUCUCAUACACACACCUGUGCACCCGUCGUAGGUCCUCGAAAGAGGAUCUAUGUUUUUCACAUCACACCCGUCGUAUGUCUAUAGAAUGUAUUGAGAACGUCGACCUGUCUGACAGGCUGGCGGUCCAUAAUGAAAUCAUACAACUUUCAGCAACGGAUCUCUUGGCUCUCGCAUCGAUGAAGAACGCAGCGAAUUGCGAUAAGUAAUGUGAAUUGCAGAUUUUCAGUGAAUCAUCGAAUCUUUGAACGCACCUUGCGCUCCUUGGUAUUCCGAGGAGCAUGCCUGUUUGAGUGUCAUUGAAUUCUCAACCAUGUCUCGAUCGAUUUCGAGGCAUGGCUUGGACUUGGGGGUUGCUGGCGGCGAAACGCUGUCGGCUCUCCUGAAAUGCAUUAGCAAAGGACGGCAAGUCUUUGGACGUGCACGGCCUUCGACGUGAUAACGAUCGUCGUGGCUGGAGCGUCGGACAUGCAUGAACGAUCCAUCGCUUCCAAUCCCUAAUCCAAGUCUAGAGUCGCUCAGCUACUAGUCCGGUCGCGAGGCCGGACGAACGUUGGGUGGGCAAGACUUGGCUGUUUGGAAACUUGACCUCAAAUCAGGUAGGACUACCCGCUGAACUUAA